AAAGACUAGUAAACAGGUCGAUACAUCACAUUGAUCGUAAACAAAUUUUAUAUGGCCAUGCAUGUUUACAUUUGGAAUCAUGAUAGUUAAGCGUGGUUUACAUAAGUUACAAGUUUAGACUUACUUUUUUACCGAAGGCCGUGGCUUAAAACCGUUGAUAUAUAAAAUGAUGUCGGGAAUAUCCUUAGUUGCAACAGUUCCGUUUCUAUGGCACAUCUUAACUGCGUGUGGAAUAAUUUGGAAUCUCGAGUACACAGUCGUUUCGAAAUACUCGCUUCAGUGGUGGAUCGAAUGUAUUCUGGAGUGUUUUCGGUUGGGUCCUCGAAAUGGCGAAUUUUCAGAAUGGUGUGCCCUUGUUCAACUAUCUGCUGCAGUUGCCGCUCUUGGGCUGCACUUUGUGGGUGGCAAGCGCCCAAUGAAAGCGUGUUACACUGUCCUCCUCGCGCUCUAUGUUGUGACACAGGGAAGACACAUAUUGCUACGUAACGCGACAGAAACAUUUGGAUAUCUCUACAUCAACAUCGCAUCAUACGCCUUUCUGGUGCUGUACAGUGAUUUUCUGGACAAUCAAUUAGAGAAAAUGCAUAGGUGAUUUAUUACAGAUAUUUAUAACAAAUGUUAUGUAUUAAGUUGUUUCGCCAUAUCAUGUGCGGUACAUAAACAAUUGCAAUACAUCACUGCAUAUUGUGUGCUCUUGCAAAUUCAUCAUAAACUAUUGUAUGGGAUGCAUCAGGUUAGUAAAACAUUAACCGGUUAACCUAUGAAUGUAACCUGUAAAUUAAGCAUUUUAAUUAAAAAAAAAGUAAAAUGUUUAAGUAUAUUUUCGAAAAUGUCAAAUUGCUUUUACAUUACUUUCUGUUGAAACGGAAUUAAUUUAUUCUUGUUUACGUUUGUUCGUUCUAUAAAUGUAUUGUUAAUAACAUACUUUAAAUUUGCGAUUGUAUUUUUGAUUUUGUAUGUAAUUAUCCGUUCAUUAAAGCAUAUGGCCUAUUUUUGGUUUAUUUUUGGUGCUGUCGCUUACCGUCUCGUGUGUAAUUAUUGUGUUUCUUUGUUAAUUCAUUUUUAUUUUCCAAAUUUUGAAAUAAACUGAAUGCAAAAAUGUUA